rnacentral:rRNA from 1 species
GAUGAACGCUGGCGGCGUGCCUAAUACAUGCAAGUCGAGCGAACAGACGAGGAGCUUGCUCCUUUGACGUUAGCGGCGGACGGGUGAGUAACACGUAGGUAACCUACCUAUAAGACUGGGAUAACUUCGGGAAACCGGAGCUAAUACCGGAUAAUAUUUCGAACCGCAUGGUUCGAUAGUGAAAGAUGGCUUUGCUAUCACUUAUAGAUGGACCUGCGCCGUAUUAGCUAGUUGUUAAGGUAACGGCUUACCAAGGCAACGAUACGUAGCCGACCUGAGAGGGUGAUAGGCCACACUGGAACUGAGACACGGUCCAGACUCCUACGGGAGGCAGCAGUAGGGAACCUUCCGCAAUGGGCGAAAGCCUGACGGAGCAACGCCGCGUGAGUGAUGAAGGUCUUCGGAUCGUAAAACUCUGUUAUUAGGGAAGAACAAACGUGUAAGUAACUGUGCACGUCUUGACGGUACCUAAUCAGAAAGCCACGGCUAACUACGUG